rnacentral:rRNA from 1 species
AUUGAACGCUGGCGGCAGGCCUAACACAUGCAAGUCGAACGAGUGGCGGACGGGUGAGUAAUGUCUGGGAAACUGCCUGAUGGAGGGGGUUAACUACUGGAAACGGUAGCUAAUACCGCAUACCAUCGGAUGUGCCCAGUGGGGAUUAGCUAGUAGGUGGGGUAAAGGCUCACCUAGGCGACGAUCCCUAGCUGGUCUGAGAGGCUGACCAGCGACACUGGCACUGAGACACGGGCCAGACGCCUACGGGAGGCACGAGUGGCGAAUAUUGCACAAUGGGCGCAAGCCUGAUGCAGCCAUGCCGCGUGUAUGAAGAAGGCCUUCGGGUUGUAAAGUACUUUCAGCGGGGAGGCGUUACCCGCAGAAGAAGCACCGGCUAACUCCGUGCCAGCAGCCGCGGUAAUAC